AAACCAGCACCUCAAGUGGUCAGGAUGAUUAUUGGGCCUAAAGCAUCCGUAGCCUGCUCUGUAAGUUUUCGGUUAAAUCUGUACGCUCAACGUACAGGCUGCCGGGAAUACUGCAAAGCUAGGGAGUGGGAGAGGUAGACGGUACUCGGGAGGAAGUGGUAAAAUGCUUUGAUCUCUCGAUGACCACCUGUGGCGAAGGCGGUCUACCAGAACACGUCCGACGGUGAGGGAUGAAAGCUGGGGGAGCAAACCGGAUUAGAUACCCGGGUAGUCC
rnacentral:rRNA from 1 species